UUUCACCACCAACAAAAUAUGUGCUGCACGAUCAGAGUGCAUCGUGUGAGACUGACUGUGCUGAUGUCCCUGAAGGUCAAACACUUAACCUCGCCGUCGCUGAAGUGUGGAACUGUGCAAAUGAAAUCGAAGAGUUUGAGGAGUUAGAACAUUCACAAGCUCAGAUGAGAGCACUCAUCACUGAGUAGUGUUCAAGAUCUCUGGUCUCAGACAAGGAGAUGAACCUUCAAUGUCCUUCACCGAUCAUCAUUUCAAGUGUGGUCUGACGUGACCGAAAGAUCAUAUCUGAGCGGGCGUGUUGGAGGAUGCUGAGGGUGCGUGACCGCUGCCAAACAGAUUUCAUCAUCCCGUACCCUGCUGGUAAACUCUCUCGCUGUCUCCAUGCAAGAGAAACUCUGAAUUCCUUCAGCUAAUCUCACGUCUGGAUGCAGCUGUGUUUCUGCGCCGCCGGAGAACAAACUCUCGAGUCCCUGCAGGACCAGACACUUGCUAUUCUUACGUUUCUAAGUGGAGGGAAAUGUCAUUUUAAAUUAAAUAAAGGUUCGUAAACUGUU